rnacentral:lncRNA from 10 species
AGCUGACUCAAGCAUAUGCAUCUUUUAAAAACUCAGAUUGUUCUUCUGCCCCGAAAUCUUGAGAACCACUGACUUAUGUGGUCAGAAGUGAUCGACUCCCUGGGCUGGGAAGCUCCAAUUUUCUCCUCCAGAUUUCCUGUGUCGCCCUCUCCUCCCUGUCCUCUGCCCCAUUAGGGAGGAUGCAUGGAUUCCUUCAGCAAGCUCUUUGUCCUUCGGUUUCCAGUUCCUUGAGGAAUUUGUUCAUCGUCUACUGGGCCUGUUAUGUCAUUUUCAGUUUUGCCUCUGCUCUCUGCCUGGAAUGUUCCAUAAUUGCUUUUCAGGUUCAGCAUUCCUGGUGGAAGCAAUCUGGGCCUGGUUAAAGGAAGUGGCUGUUCCAAAAGUAGAAGGGCAGACAAAGCCAAAUCUGGGUGAGAGAUGAAGAAGGAACUCCAGAGCAAGCCACAAAUGACUUUAGCUUCAAAUAGAAUCAAAAGCCAAUUAAAGAAUCAUGCUACAUUUAUAAAGUAUAUAGGUUCCAUGAUUCAGUUGAUUGUGUAUUUUUCUCAUUCCAUAGUGUAGAUUCAGACAUUUACAAUUCUUUUACUGUGUUUAUAAAAUCUCAGAAGUUUUUUUCUAAUCCCAAGUAAUAUUAUUGUUUAGUGUUGCUACCUUCAACAGUUCUCUUAGGUAGAUCUAGACAAUUUGCUGCAGCUUCUAUAUCAACACUUGCUGCUUCACCUUGCACUUUUAUGUUAUAGAGAUGGGUUCUUUCCUUUAACCUCAUGAACAAAACUCUGCUACCUUCAAACUUUUCUUUUGCAGCUUCCUGAUUGAAGCCUUCACAAAUUAAAGAGAGUUAGAGCUUUGCUCUAGAUUAGGCUUGGGCUUAAGGAAAUACCGGGGUUGGUUUAAUCCUCUAUGUACUAAAACUUUCUCCAUAUCAGCAAUGAGUCUGUCUUGCUUUUUUCUGAGUCACGUGUCCACUGGAGUAGCAUUUUUAAUCUCCUUCAAACAUUUUUCCUUUGCUUUCACAACUUGGCUGUUUGGCACAAAAGAUCUAGCUUUCAACCUAACUUGGCUUCAACAUGACUUUCUCACUAAACUUAAUCAUUUCUAGUUGUUGAUUUGUGACCCUUCCUUUCAUUUGAACACUGAGAGGCCAUUGUAACAUUAUUAUUUAGCUUAAUAUCAAUACUGUUGUGUAUCAGGGAAUAGGGAGGCUGGAGAAGAGGGAGAGAGACAGGGGAAUGGCUGAUCAGUGGAGCUGUCAGAACACAUACAACAUAUAUCAAUUAAAUUCUCCAUCAUAUAUGGGCACAGUUUGUGGCACCCCAAAACAUGAUAGUAACAUCCAAGAUCAUUGAUCACAGACCACCAUAAAACAUAUUAUAAUAAUGAAAACAUUUGAAAUAUUGAUAGGAUUACAGAAAUGUGACACAAAGACACAACAUGAGCACAUGCUAUUGGAAAAAUAAGGCUGAUAGACUUGCUUGAUUCAGGGUUGCCACAAACCCUCAAUUUGUAA